AGAAGCUUGCUUCUCUGAUGUUAGCGGCGGACGGGUGAGUAACACGUGGAUAACCUACCUAUAAGACUGGGAUAACUUCGGGAAACCGGAGCUAAUACCGGAUAAUAUUUUGAACCGCAUGGUUCAAAAGUGAAAGACGGUCUUGCUGUCACUUAUAGAUGGAUCCGCGCUGCAUUAGCUAGUUGGUAAGGUAACGGCUUACCAAGGCAACGAUGCAUAGCCGACCUGAGAGGGUGAUUGGCCACACUGGAACUGAGACACGGUCCAGACUCCUACGGGAGGCAGCAGUAGGGAAUCUUCCGCAAUGGGCGAAAGCCUGACGGAGCAGCGCCGCGUGAGUGAUGAAGGUCUUCGGAUCGUAAAACUCUGUUAUUAGGGAAGAACAUAUGUGUAAGUAACUGUGCACAUCUUGACGGUACCUAAUCAGAAAGCCACGGCUAACUACGUGCCAGCAGCCGCGGUAAUACGUAGGUGGCAAGCGUUAUCCGGAAUUAUUGGGCGUAAAGCGCGCGUAGGCGGUUUUUUAAGUCUGAUGUGAAAGCCCACGGCUCAACCGUGGAGGGUCAUUGGAAACUGGAAAACUUGAGUGCAGAAGAGGAAAGUGGAAUUCCAUGUGUAGCGGUGAAAUGCGCAGAGAUAUGGAGGAACACCAGUGGCGAAGGCGACUUUCUGGUCUGUAACUGACGCUGAUGUGCGAAAGCGCGGGGAUCAAACAGGAUUAGAUACCCUGGUAGUCCACGCCGUAAACGAUGAGUGCUAAGUGUUAGGGGGUUUCCGCCCCUUAGUGCUGCAGCUA
rnacentral:rRNA from 1 species